GUGUAUAAUAUUUCUCUACCAAAAAGUCUAAACUAUUAGUUAAAUGACCUAGCAAGAAGGAAGGACUGAGGGAGAAAUAUGACUCUUAAAAUAACAUUCUCCGUAGGGGGGAGGGGAUAAGAAUCAUGCAACAAGAACAUAAGCCUUUAAUCUUUUCUUGUUGUUGAUGAGCCACUUGCACUUCUGAUGAGCAAUCUGUAGUAACCAGCUGUGAGGAGCCGGGAUUGAAGAGCUUGCUGUGAUGUGUACAAGCCUCUUCUGUUGUUGUUGAAAUUAGGAGACUUAGCAGGUGUGAAUUCACAGUAACACCUUUUGUGAGUACAGCUCUCGGAAGGUGCACAUCUAAAGAUACCUGUUAUCAUCUAAACCCAUUCUGUCCUUUUUAUUCAUACCCUGUUGUCUGGUGUUACUGGUGGGCUGAUUGUAGGCGUAUCCUUAUAAACAUGUUCUCUCUAAAAUGAUUAUUGGUAGAAGAUCAGUCAAUUUUCAGCGUCCAAGAAAACGAUACUUGCAAGACAGUUUGUUCUGACUGGAGCAGAGAGUUCCGAUUUAUUAACAGCAACAGUAUUAUCUUCCUCGAAUGUAUUCAGAUCACAAGCAGGCAUAACCUCCCUAAACCGAUCCACACAGAAUACAUUUUUCAAGGGCUACUGCACAGCAUGUCUCCACCUAGCUUCUGUAUCUCAAGCUGGAUAUGAACGCAUUUAUUUACAAAUCAUUGUGUGAAGACAAGUUUGUGUAAAUUUAUAUAGAAAUAGACUCACUAAUGUGAACCUCAAUUGAUAGGCUUCAAAUAAAAUAAUUAACUAUGAUUUUUACAGUUUUAUUAUAUAUAUAUAUAUAUAUAUAUUUACAGUGUUAGUUAUUUCAACUGUGCACACAAUUUAGAUGACCAGCUGUUCAAUCAGGACAAAAUAAAGGCAGUUGUUAUGGAAUAUUUUAAUCAAAGUAUAAAUCGCAUACACUUCCUCCCCAUAGGACCUCUCUGUAAUGUUAACUGAGUUUUUCUGUGCCAUACCUUUCGUAUUACUUUAGGAAGUUAUGUGUGUGGAAAUAUUCCAAGAAUCAACAGUAUUCCACAUCCAGAGAGGGACAGUCAGAAUCUACCUCAUGAGAAUCUCAUCACUGCAGAACCAGGGGAGAAUGAGAUCAUCUAUCCCGAUGCAAGCAUACGCUCAGACGCCACCUGUUGGACUUCAACUGCACGCUCCACAACAGACUUCCUGUAACAGGGUGCCUAGCCCUACAGCGCAGGGGCUAUUAUUAUAUUACGCACAACAAAGUGUGUCAAAUCAACAAAACAAUCAUCAAAGUAAUCAACAGUCUCAUGUGUUAUGGAACGGCCAGUCUUCCUCCCAGCCUGUUUCAAGUUCAUGUAAUUUGCAGUCGAGACCUAGGCCUCAAACGUGGUUUACCGACUCGCAGAAUGGGUUGCUUCUCAGAAGUUCAACUUGUGUGGGAAGUUCUUUACCAAAUGGACAGGUUGCACCAUUGCCAGCUGCUCAGCAUGGACCCUCCACUCAAAACCUCAGCCAUCAUCCCCAGACCUUGAAUAGACAUACUGUUCCUCAGCAGAACUAUAAUAUGCCACACUUGCACAACGUCAGUAAUACAAAUGUUCCUUGGUUCCCUUCGAAUUAUAGCAAUCCAAGUUCUGCAACUGAACAGAAUAAGCUGACGCAUCAGUCAGUUCUACCUCAGUACCAGUCUCUGAAUGAACAUCAUAACAGAAUGCAGAUUGCGCAUCAACCUGCAGCUCAGCCGCAACAAACAGAUCGGUCUGCUCAGAUUCUGCACAAUCAGGCACAGCAGAAAAUUCACAAUAAUCAAGCUCAGAUAACAGGAGGAAAAGGAAAUGGUGCUUUAUAUAACUCUGUUAACCACUUCCCUGCUACUUCACAAAGACUCAUCACUCCAUCCCAGCCUUCAAACUACAGUCAGCAGACUGGUCAGAGCCACGCAAGCUAUAACGGGAAUCACGCUCAGCAUUCAUCACAAAUCCAGCAUCAGCCUUCGCCAUACAGAACAGAGACCAAUUCUUCCGGUUACGGUCAUUUAAAACACAGCGAGAACAAGCAUCAAAAUUUACAGUCACACCCAUCCCCACCAUACCCAGAGCAGAGGAGAAAGCAGAGGAAAAAUCAAAGUUCAGCAUUAAGGUUACCCCAGGACAAUUUCCAGGACCAGACUUCACUCCAACAAUGCAACACUACACUAGAUUCUGGCCAUCAAAGCCAGACAUGCCAUCCUACUGUGUCUGCCAUUCAAGGCAACACAUGGCCACAAGAAUCAAAUGAUGCAAGCGCUGGACUCCCUAGGUCCUCACAAGUUACAAUAUCUUCAGACACUCCUACCAGAGGAGUACCACCACUCAAGCUAAUAAAUUGUCUGGUAGGGAAAUACAAGGCACCUGCUCAAAGGCAUGUCACUAAUCCUCUGCCGUGCCUCAAGGCCAGCUUUACCACCCAGGGGCAAACACCCAGUCACAUUACACCUAAUGCAAGCUACCCUCAGACACCAGAAUCUACCCCAUGCUGUAGUGCACUUGCAACCCUUCACAGUAAAAUACUCCAAAGGAUCAGCAGUAAGCAGACAUCUGUCAAAAGAACAGCCAUCUUAAAAGAGAACGAACAUGCCCUUGGUAAUCAGUUGAAAGCACCACAUGGUCAAAGCUUUGAAGGGAUGCAGAACAGAAGAUUGCAGUUAGACUCGAACAUCGAGAGAAAAGAUGAACAAAACGGCAAUAACUGUCAUGGAGAGGUGCAGUACGGUGAGGAUGUAGCUGAGUCUCUAGAGCUGGUAAGGGCACUGCAGAAAAUGUAUCGACAAUUCCACAAAGCAGUAGCUGUAGUUCCACCCAUUUCUCAGCAGCCCCCCAGUCCAGAAAAAAAUGAUCAUGUCCCCACAAGCGCCGAUGACAGCCUGCCUUUCAAGAUCGAUGCUGUCUGUACUCUUGUUAAGGAGGGCAAGAAUGUGGAGCAAGAGUCAAAUGCACCAAGUCUGCCCAAAGAGACCAUCAAGGAAUUACUGCAGUUGUUUUCAAUACCAGACCCCGAGACACAGGAACCUAACAAACCUGAAGAUGGAUCUACAGUUGACAGCCUAAUACCUGACACUCAAAGCACAGACAUUCCUCAGUCUCAAAUUGACUCUUCCACAUCUCAAGACCCUGUUUGCUCUACUGUCUUGACCUCAAAAAGUGCAGAGGAUCACAACGAAGUCCAAACUGGUCAGUCAAAUGGCAACAUGUUUGAUGUGUCCAAGAUACAAGUGCUUAAUUUUACCACCGAAGAAAUUUAUUGAGUUUGUGAAGAUUUUAGAAAACACAACAGAAGGAAGUGUAAAAGAGCCAGUGGCAGAUGUUAAGAAGUGUCUCUUGGAUCUCUAUUGGGACGGAAGCGUAAUAAACCUUGUUAAACAAAUACAAACAGUCACUGAAGAGAUAUCUGGCUUCUCUACUGAAGUGUCCAUAAAAGAAAUGCAGACAGCAGUUUUUCACUACCUUAAACCUGAACUGUUAAUGAUGCUGGAACAUGGUUACCACAUUCUGAAAGAUGACACAAACUUACCAGCUGAGGACUUUACGUCGUCAUGGUUGAACAUCGAUGGACAGCCUGCUGAUGUAGACAGUGUUCUUUCGGAACCAAUUUUGGACUUUAACUUUACCGAUUAUGCUUUACACGGAAGUUUCAACGCACUUGAUAUUUAUUCCGAGUUUGAACCUUCUACAAAGGUGAUCCCUCCAACAACUGACUGCCAGGAUGACCAGAUGAUUAACAAAGAGCUUGCAAACACACAGGUAUGUGAAAGUAAAUCCACCGAUAAAGUCUCCAGCACACAAGAAGCAUCAAAGAAGCAAGAAGAUGAAAACCUUGAGAAACAUCAGCAGCAAGAUGUAAAUAUGAAUCCUGAAGAAUCUGUAGAUGCAAAUGAAAUAGCAGACACACUGACUGAGAGCGAAACCGAAUGCGAACAAGUCUGCGGAGAUGCAAGUGAGAAUAUCACUUCCUCUGAAAUGGUUGAACAGAGCUAUCUUUCUAAUGAUGAUUCCAGCAAUGACUCCCAAUUAAUUGAACUCUCACUUUUGUCAUCUGAUGAUGCUAGAACCAUUUUUAAGGAAUACUCUGGUUCUGAUUUACAAAAAGAGCCAUGCCAAGAUGAAGCAAAGGGUUCCACCACCUCAGACAAUAAGUCUAAUGAGUUCUGCAAUUCAACCAAUCAAAUCAAAUUUACUUGCCCUCAUGUGACCUACAUCGACUGGAAUGGUGACGAUUUCUGUCCCAGGUGCUGGGAAGAAACUCCUUUGCUGGAUCUAGAUCUGGAAGAAGCUCUGUUCAGCCCAAAGGCGUUUAGUUCUACUCCUAAUAAAGAAGAUCAUCAUAAUCACAGCUGUAGUCCACAAUGUGGAAAGCCAGAUUCAAAUUGUACUGUAUUGUCAGAGGGUAGCAGCAUAGCUGACUCAUCUACUCCAAAGGUAUUUGAAGGGACCAUCUCCGAACCAGACCCUAAUCCAUGUAAUGCAGUAGAAAGCUGUACUCCACUGUCUGGUAAAUCACCAGUUGAAGAACUACAUUCACCCGUGUGCACUGAAAGUGUUAGCUUCACUAUGCCAGUUGAAGAACAAGUCUGUGAGACCAACAGUUCAAAGGGCCCAAAGUUACCCAAGGCUCUGUCGUAUGCACAAAACCUAGUCAUUGCAGAGCAGACCAAAACCCCAAGAGAUGAAGUUUCUCCACCUAAAAGUCUACCAUGCAAAAAGUUCAAGCUAACCAAAACUACAGCAAUACCUCCUGAAGAUGACCUUUUCACUGCUGGUAUUGUGACCACAAAAGCUAGUACCCCAAAACCACAUUCAAAUGAUCUUGAUGUUACUCCAGCUGAAGGUGACCAGAAUUGUAAAGAUGAAAGGAAAGAAAGAGGAGAAGUAAGAAGGUCUCCAAUCAAGCUGAAAAUGAAUGCUCAGUGUACACAAUCUGGUACACCAGACCCAAAUGUGAAUGUAUCCUCAGAGACUAGCAGUGUCUCUUCAAAUCCUUCAACCUAUGGAGUUAAUAUGAGUAUCACAGAACCAGACCCUAAUCUAGGUGAUUCAGUACAGAACUCUAACUCACCAUCUGCUAAAUCACCAGAUAAAGAAGCACAUAGACUAGUAGGUUCAGAGAUCGUCAGGGUCACUUUGUCAGUUGAACAAGUUUGUGAGGCAAAUAGUUGGUCAAGAGCAGAGUUAUCCAAGACUCCCGCACAAAACAUUGAACAGAAAAGGCCAGUCAUUCUGUCACAUACCAAAACAUCUAGAGAAAAAAUUCUCCACCAAGAUAUCCUCCAUGUAAAAGGGUAAAGGUUACCAAUACUGUAUCAAUACAUGCUGAAGAUGACCUUUUCGCCCCUGAUAUUGUGGUCAAAAAAGCUAGCUCCCCAAUACAACAUCCAAGUGACCCUACUGUUACUCCUGCUAAAAAUAACCAGUAUUGCAAAUAUGAAAGGAAGGAAAGAGGAGAAGAAAGAAAGUCUCCAAUCAUGUUGAAACUUCAACGUAUGCAACAUUCUGGCCCAACCAAAACAGAUUCACAUGGGAAAUGGUACAAGCCAUCUGUUACGUCCCAAAUGCCAAAUGUUACACCUCAGCCGAAAAGUUCAGAUCCAAACAAAGAGGAAGAACUUGGUAAGACAAAACAAACUGGACAGAACAAAGAAAAGCUGAGAUUUUCGCUGUAUGGAUUCAGUAAUGGCAACAGGAACAGAAUCGUCCAUCAAUGCUCCAGGACAAAGUCGUCCACAGCUCCUGCUUACGUCACAAUCUCAAACAGCCUUGAAACUGCACAGAGCUACACGGAUGCACCUUCGGCUAAGCAAAAGGUCUAUAGCCAGUGGAGUAGCACAUUUGUGGAAACAAAAAGGAUACCUCUUCACAUAAGAAGCAUCAACAACCUGUGAAAGCAGAUCUGAAAUCCAGGACACCAGCACUCAAAAGACUUGUUCAAGACAGAUUCGCUAUGAAAGAGAAGCAAUCCACAAAGGAUCUGAGGCAUAAACAAAGUGCUGAAGAUUUUAUUGUUGAACAAGAAGCCAAAAGGUUGAAGUGUAACACUGCUGAUGAAAACUUGGACACACAAACUACAACGGUUCUUAUGUAGUAUGUUCGAAAAUACACUUGUACUAUAUAAUAAAUAACUAUAUAAAUAAUCAUUGCUUAUAAACUCUUUUUAUGGUAAAUCUGUGUCAAAGUGUCAAAUCUGGAUUAUUUCAGUGCUGAAUCCAUACUCUGCUCAUUUCUUUUCUUUCACUAGUAAUUGCUAGUGAAAGAGAAGGCUCUCUCUUUCUAUGUCUUUUUUUUUUAUUUUUAUCUCUUUCCAAUUCCAGUGAUAUAACCUACUUUAACGGUUGUUUUGUUUAACUGAUAAUAUAUUGUGUUGUCAAUUUAAUUCACCACUUUUUUUAGUGGUUUUAUGAAUGCUAAAAUAUUGUUUUGCUCUAUGAGCUGGGAGCUUGAUAACUGUGGAACUUUUUUUUUUACCUUUUUAUAUUGUUGAGGUUUUACAAUUUAUUAUUUGUAUUUUUUAUAAUAAAGUUUUGUAUGAAAAUGUUGCCAUGUUACUGGACGAAUUAGUUAUGACAAACAAUACUCUACAAUUGUUUGAACAAAUUAUGAACACAGAGGUGUUCAAAGUUGUUUGUACAGCGGGGAGAAAUAAGUAUUGAAUGUGUCAACAUUUUUUUUUCAGUAAAUAUAUUUCCAAUGAGGCUAUUCACAUGAAAUUUUCACCAGACAUCAGUAUUAACUCAAGAAAUCCAGAAAUAUAAAGAAUUCACAACAUUAAACUCCAUAAAUAAAGUUAUGUGUAAUAAAGUGGUAUUACAUGGGAAAAAAAGUAUUGAAUACUCUAAGAAAAAGCAGUUCUCCAAUGCAAGGAAUCAUCUGUAAGUAAUUAUACCCCCAUCUGUGAAAAUUAAUAUCAGCUGGGUUAGUAAAUUGAUGGUCUAUAAAAAGGCUUUUUGUUACCAAGGUGUCAUAGAAAAAACAUCUCAUGAUGGGUAAAAGCAAAGAGCUCUCCCAAGACCUUCGCAACCUUAUUGUUGCAAAACAUAUUAAUACAGAUACAGACGUAUUUCUAAACUUCUGAAUCCUCCAGUAAGCACCACUGGAGCCAUCAAACAUCACUCCGUCAUCAACCGGCCAUGCACAGGAGCUCCUCGCAAAAUUUCUGACCAGGGAGUCAGAUGAAUAGUCAGAAGAGUAGCCCAAGAGCCAAGGGCCACUCAGAAAGAGCUCCAGAAACACUUGGAGGCAGCAGGUGCCAUCGUCAUAGAGAAAACAAUAGGCAAUGCACUACACUGCUCACGCUCACCCCGCAAGACUCCAUUACUAAAGAAAAGGCAUGUUGAAGCUUGUUUAAAGUUUGCUACAACUCCUUUGGACAAGCCUAUGAAAUACUGGGAGAGUGUAGUCUGGUCAGACGAGAGCAAAAUGUAACUUUUUGUCACACACCAUGUCUGCAGAAGAAAUGACACUGCACAUCACCCUAAAAACACUACAACAGUGAAGUUUGGAGGUGGAAGCAUCACGGUGUGGGGCUGUUUUUCAUCGCAUGUUACUGGCAGACUUCAUAUAACUGAAGGAACGAUGAAUGGAGCCCUUUACCGGGAGAUUCUUGAGAAGAAUCCGCUGCCAUCCACCAGGAUGAUGAAGAUGAGACGUGGGUGGAGCUUCCAGCAGGACAACGAUCUAAAGCUUACAGCAAAGAGAAGAGCAAGAAAAGAAAGAGCAGAGGAAAAGGCCAGAAGAAUGAGGGAUCAUCGGGGAAUGUUGAUCACAGAGGACUACAACACGAUACUGCAAUAUCUGAGUUCCCCACAGAUCGCUCUAGCUGCAAUGGCUAAUCAACUCUGGAAAUGCCAUAGGGAUGUUCAGAAACCGAUAAGAAAAGUCAUAAAAAUAAGUAGAGUAUUAAGGACUAAAAUGUAUAUAGAGGAUAUUGCUGUUAAUAAAGCGACCAGCAAAAGUCUGUUCACUGAGCAAAAAAAAAACACUUCCUGACCCACAUGAAUAUGAACUUGAUCUAAGCCAGGCUAUUACGUACAUGACACCUGAAUAAGUAUAGAAAGUUAACAUAGAUGCUGAUUUGCUUCUGCUUGUAUAUGUGUGAUAAAGAAGAAGCGCAAGGUGUUAAAACAACAAGGGUUGGAAAUGUCUUUGGCUUCCUUAUUUUAUACCAGUAUCUUAAAAACACAGAGGUUUAAAUGUCACUGAGGCCUAAUGACGCCUGAAGGUAGAUACAACAGGAUAUUGUGGGUUAGCCUAACAUCUUGUGCUCAGUGACUGACAGGGUUUGAAAUGCUCUCGUGAAAGUAUGUUGUAUGCUAUUUUGAAAAAUGAACGUGUAACCUCUGACUCAUAUUCUGAAUUGAUGGGAUGACAGCUGACACUAAAGUUCCUAUUUAUAAAAAUCGGGAUCCAAUGUGCCGGCUGAAAUUUAUAUAAUAUGUCUGAAUAUGUUCAUUCUUCGCCAAGAUUUCCCUGGUCAAGAUCUACGCGUGGUGAAGAUAUUCUUAACGGC
ensembl:lncRNA